CCUACGGGAGGCAGCAGUGGGGAAUAUUGCACAAUGGGCGAAAGCCUGAUGCAGCAACGCCGCGUGAGCGAUGAAGGCCUUCGGGUCGUAAAGCUCUGUCCUCAAGGAAGAUAAUGACGGUACUUGAGGAGGAAGCCCCGGCUAACUACGUGCCAGCAGCCGCGGUAAUACGUACGGGGCAAGCGUUAUCCGGAUUUAUUGGGUUGAAAGGGUGCGUAGGCUGUGAGGGAAGGCAGCGGUGAAAUGCCCCCGCUGUACGGGGUGAAGUGCCAUUGAUACUGCCUUGCUGGAAUGCGGAUGCCGGGGGAGGAAUGUGUGGUGUAGCGGUGAAAUGCAGAGAUAUCACACAGAACACCGAUUGCGAAGGCAUCUCACGAAUCCGCAAUUGACGCUGAUGCACGAAAGCGUGGGUAUCAAACAGGAUUAGAUACCCCAGUAGUC
rnacentral:rRNA from 1 species